rnacentral:rRNA from 1 species
GACGAACGCUGGCGGCGUGCCUAAUACAUGCAAGUAGAACGCUGAAGGAGGAGCUUGCUUCUCUGGAUGAGUUGCGAACGGGUGAGUAACGCGUAGGUAACCUGCCUGGUAGCGGGGGAUAACUAUUGGAAACGAUAGCUAAUACCGCAUAAGAGUAGAUGUUGCAUGACAUUUGCUUAAAAGGUGCAAUUGCAUCACUACCAGAUGGACCUGCGUUGUAUUAGCUAGUUGGUGGGGUAACGGCUCACCAAGGCGACGAUACAUAGCCGACCUGAGAGGGUGAUCGGCCACACUGGGACUGAGACACGGCCCAGACUCCUACGGGAGGGAGCAGUAGGGGAUCUUCGGCAAUGGACGGAAGUCUGGACGAGGAACGCCGCGGGGGUGAAGGAGGGUUUCGGAUCGUAAAGCUCUGUUGUAAGGGGAGGACGGGUGUGAGGGUGGAAAGUUCACACUGUGACGGUAUCUUAACAGAAAGGGACGGCUAACUACGUG